rnacentral:rRNA from 1 species
UGAUCCAGCAAUGCCGCGUGAGUGAAGAAGGCCUUCGGGUUGUAAAGCUCUUUUGUCAGGGAAGAAAAGGGAUUGGCUAAUAUCUGGUCCUCAUGACGGUACCUGAAGAAUAAGCACCGGCUAACUACGUGCCAGCAGCCGCGGUAAUACGUAGGGUGCAAGCGUUAAUCGGAAUUACUGGGCGUAAAGCGUGCGCAGGCGGUUUUGUAAGACUGUCGUGAAAUCCCCGGGCUCAACCUGGGAAUGGCGAUGGUGACUGCAAGGCUAGAGUUUGGCAGAGGGGGGUAGAAUUCCACGUGUAGCAGUGAAAUGCGUAGAUAUGUGGAGGAACACCGAUGGCGAAGGCAGCCCCCUGGGUCAAAACUGACGCUCAUGCACGAAAGCGUGGGGAGCAAACAGGAUUAGAUACCCUGGUAGUCCACGCCCUAAACGAUGUCUACUAGUUGUCGGGUCUUAAUUGACUUGGUAACGCAGCUAACGCGUGAAGUAGACCGCCUGGGGAGUACGGUCGCAAGAUUAAAACUCAAAGGAAUUGACGGGGACCCGCACAAGCGGUGGAUGAUGUGGAUUAAUUCGAUGCAACGCGAAAAACCUUACCUACCCUUGACAUGGAUGGAAUCCUUGAGAGAUU